UAGGAGGUAGCAAUAUUUUCUGGUUGGAGUGGCGCAAGGGUGCGUAACACGUGGGUAAUCUGCCGUGAAGCCUGGGAUAACUCGCUGAAAGGCGAGCUAAUACCGGAUGAGACUGUCUAUUGGCAUCAAUGGACAUUGGAAGCUGGGGACCGCAAGGCCUGGCACUUCACGAUGAGCCCGCGGCCUAUCAGCUAGUUGGUGAGGUAACGGCUCACCAAGGCAAAGACGGGUAGCUGGUCUGAGAGGACGACCAGCCACACUGGAACUGAGACACGGUCCAGACACCUACGGGUGGCAGCAGUCGAGAAUUUUUCACAAUGGGCGCAAGCCUGAUGGAGCGACGCCGCGUGGGGGAUGAAGGGUUUCGAUCCGUAAACCCCUGUCAUUUGCGAACAAACCUUCUGCAAUAAUACUGCAGGAGUUGAUUGUAGCGGAAGAGGAAGGGACGGCUAACUCUGUGCCAGCAGCCGCGGUAAUACAGAGGUCCCAAGCGUUGUUCGGAUUCACUGGGCGUAAAGGGUGCGUAGGUGGCCAGGUAAGUUUGGUGUGAAAGCUCGGAGCUCAACUCCGAAAAGUCAUUGAAUACUAUCUGGCUGGAGGGUCGGAGGGGAGACUGGAAUUCACGUGUAGCAAGGGCGAU
rnacentral:rRNA from 1 species